rnacentral:rRNA from 1 species
ACAGUACGUGGUUUAGAUGGCGGCGACGUGAUUACUCCUAAUUAACCUGCCUUCCCCACCACGGUAACAACCCGAGGGUUACGGGUACUGUAUCGGAAACAAAAAGGCAUCUUUUUGUUUUUAAAAGACCUUCUUACGAAGGUAUGCUUAGAGACGGGCUUGCGCCACUUUAUUUAGUUGGUAGAGUUAAAGCCUACCACGACGAUGAUGUGGACCUGGACUGAGAGGUUGAACAGCCACAUUGGGACUGAGACACGGCCCAAACUCCUACGGGAGGCAGCAAAAUGGAAUUUUCGGCAAUGGAGGAAACUCUGACCGAGCAACGCCGCGUGAACGAUGAAGUAUUUCGGUAUGUAAAGUUCUUUUAUUGAACAAGAAAAAGUAGUGGAAAAACUAUAUUGACGUUAUUCAAUGAAUAAGCCCCGGCUAACUAUGUGCCAGCAGCCGCGGUAAGACAUAUUGGGGCGAGCGUUAUCCGGAAUUAUUGGGCGUACAGGGUGCGUAGGCUGUUACAUAAGUCUAUAAUUUAAUUUCAGUGCUUACCGCUGUCUUGUUAUGAAACUGUCUUGACUAGAGUGAGAUAGAGGCAAGCAGAAUUCCAUGUGUAGCGGUGAAAUGUGUUGAUAUAUGGAGGAACACCAGAAGCGUAUGCGGCUUGCUGGGUCUUUACUGACGCUGAGGCACGAAAGCGUGCGUAGCAAACAGGAUUAGAUACCCUGGUAGUCCACGCCCGUAAACGAUGAGUACUAAGUGUCGGGGGUAAAACUCGGUACUGAAGCUAACACAUUGAGUACUCCGCCUGAGUACUACGUACGCAAGUAUGAAACUUGAGAGGAAUUGACGGGACUCCGCACAAGCGGUGGAUCAUGUUGUUUAAUUCGAAGAUACACGAAAAAUCUUACCAGGUCUUGACCUACGUCUGCAGAGGCUAUAGAAAUAUAGUGGAGGUUAUCAGGGAUACAGGUGGUGCAUGGUUGUCGUCAGUUCGUGUCGUGAGAUGUUAGGUUAAGUCCUAAAACGAACGCAACCCUUGUCGUUAAUUGCCAGCACAUAAUGGUGGGGACUUUAACGAGACUGCCAAUUAAACAUUGGAGGAAGGUGAGGAUUACGUCAAAUCAUCAUGCCCCUUAUGAUCUGGGCUACAAACGUGAUACAAUGGCUGUGACAAAGAGUAGCUGAAACGCGAGUUUUUAGCCAAUCUCAAAAAAGCAGUCUCAGUUCGGAUUGAAGUCUGUAACUCGACUUCAUGAAGUUGGAAUCGCUAGUAAUCGCGAAUCAGCAUGUCGCGGUGAAUACGUUCUCGGGGUUUGUACACACCGCCCGUCAAACCACGAAAGUUAGCAAUGCCCGAAAGCAGUAGC